ACUUAUUGCUGUCAGCAAAGUCCUCUUUGUACUCAAAAUCAGCUUUCAGUAUCAGGGUCUGGCAGAAAGGAAGAGAUGAAGACCCCCCAAGAAUGGAGAACAAAGUUCCCCAACAUCCUGACUCAUUCCACGGAGGCCGGGUGUCUGAGGAGGAUCUGGGGCUUCUGAAGUACUCUGCUCCAAGGUUUGGGAAAGAUGGGAGUGGGGGGCUCAGGAAGAAGAUAAGUGGGCUCAGAUGGAACUCAUGGCCUCUUCAAAUUUUUUGAGAUUCCCAGUGCAUUAAAAUAAGAAAAGAUAUCAGGCAUAUUUUUAAACCAUUAAACUUAAGUUAGCCCUUUUCAUGCACAAGUAAACAAAAGAAGGUCACUGGGCUAUUCACUAGCAAAGUCCAAGACUUAUCAACAGCAGGAACUCAGAGUGCUGCUGGUGGCAAGGAGGGCCACAGCACCCGCAUGUCUGUCGACCGUGUGCGUUUGUUGGUGGUCUCUGUCACACUCAGGUAUUGCCAGGAGUUCCAGCUGAGGUACUCCCUGAAGCGGAAGCCCUCUUCUCUCUCCUCACACUGUUGGUCAUCCCAGGCCAUUUGUCUUUGCUUGUCCUACUUUGCUCUCUGGACGACAUGGGGCCUCCUCUG
rnacentral:lncRNA from 1 species